AGAAAUGAAAUUUCAGAAAAUUCUAUAAAAGAAAAUCUCCCAAUUUUGCCACAUAGGAAUGAACAUUCCUAGUAGAGUAGUUCUCUAAAAGAUGGUGAUAAUAUGGUCCCUGCUGUGAAGGAAAAUAUGUUUGUCUAAAUCCUGAAAUAUCCUCACAGACUAUAAAUGUGUAUGAACAUGAUGUAAAUAUUUUCAGUAUUUCUCAGAAAUUUAUGGAAAUCCUAAUCAAGUGAAAAUGCUCCUGUUCAGGUUAGCUGGUAAAAUGCACUGUCUAGCUUUUGCAACAUAUAUGACCUCAAAAUCUUUGUAGAAAUCAAUAUUUUAGUAAAUUCAGUUACAUGUGCCCAAUGACAGAUUAUACAGUAAUGAUGAUUCAUCUUUAUUAUUGAUUGAUUUUCAAUGAUCAGAGUGACUUCAAACAAUUUAGGUUCAGACUUCUUUGCUUCCAGCAAACAAAUGCUUAUGUGUAUCAACUCUUUUUUUUUUUUUUUUUUUUUUUUUGAGACUCAGUUUCGCUCUUGUCACCCGGGCUGGAGUGCAAUGGUGUGAUAUCUUGGCUUACCACAAACUCGGCCUUCCGGGUUCAAGCGAUUCUCCUGCCUUAGCCUCCCAAGUAGCUGGGAUUACAGGCACCCGCCACCACACCCAGCUAAUUUUUGUAUUUUUAGUAGUGACGGGGUUUCACCAUGUUGGCCAGGCUGGUCGCGAACUCCUGACCUUGUGAUUCACCCGCCUCGGCCUCCCAAAGUGCUGGGAUUACAGGCGUGAGCCACCACACCCGGCCCAAACUCUUAAUUAAAGGAAGCCCAUGUCAAUUACUUUGCAAAUACAUUGGUAAACAGUCAGCCCUUCACUUAUAGAUUGUGAAAGGUCAUAAUUUACUCUUCCUAAAUAAGGUUUCCUACAUAAAGACUCCUUAAGCCAGCAAUACUGGGGAUAAUUGCCUAAUUUAAGAGAAUAUUGCAACUGGUACGGUAUUUCUUCUGAUAAAGAAAGUGCAUCCUAAUAUCUUUGAGACUCUGCUAUCAGAGGUUAAACAGCCCUGGGAAGUAUUUUGGGAACACACAUGCCCUGCUCACUGUACUUCAGUGGGACAAUAUUUCCUUUCCUUGCCCUCUGGAGAGGCCAUUUCUUUUCUUCUCUUUCUUGCUCUCCUUCAGGUGAGGAGAGAUCAGAUCCCAGACUCUUAUCUCAGGGCGUGAGGUCAUACUGCAUGGGGCCUGAGUAGAACGUUCUCCUCUGCCAGUGACUGGGCUGAGGCCAAAAUCUCCUCCUCAACCAUCAGCUCCACUUUGGCAAAGAGGCUCUGGUCUCAGGGGAUUUGUUAAUUGAUAAUCCUGUUAGUAAACAUUUACACUGAGACUAAUUUUUAGCUUAUAUGAACACCACCACACAGAAUAGCUUUGUACUUGUUGUACAUGUAUUCAUGGGCAAUUUGUAUUUCUUUUUCUUUUUUUCUUUUUUGAGACAGAGUCUCACUCU
rnacentral:lncRNA from 10 species